AUGGUAGGCAGCAAGACGCACCACCACGCGUCCUCCUCCCUCCUGCCGGAGGAGCUCAACCUCCUGCAGAAGGCCAGGUGCUCCCCUGACGACGGCAACGGCGUCCAUAAUGGCGGAGGAGGAGGACGCAGCGCGCUCGGGCAGUGGAAGUGCCGGCUGCUGGACUCCCUCCGGCCCCGGCGCCCGCGCUGCGUGGUGUGCCUCCAGGUGCAGCACGUCACCGGCAUGCCCCCCGCCGCCGAGGGGCGCGGCGUGGUGGUCGGGUGGAGGAGCAAGGGCGGCGAGGGUGAGCACACGGCACCGGCGCGGGUGUCGCGCGGCGGGGCGGCCGCGUUCGACGAGGUGUUCCUGCACUACUUCACCGCCGGCGGCUCCACGCUGCGCAGCUUCACCGUGUGGGCCGCGCUCGUGGAGGACGACCCGGCAAGGGGCGGCGGCGGGGGAGGGGACCUGGGCGCGUUCCCCGUGGACCUCGCCGAGGCUGCCGUGGCUGAGAGCUCACACCCGCAGUUCGGCGGCAAGGCGCUCAGCUUCCAACUGGGCGGCGCCGCCGCCGGCGCCGUGCUCACCGUGAGCGUCUACUGCAGGGUGAUGGAGCAGGAGGAGAUCCAUGGCGCCAACGGCCAUGCGCGGGAGAGGAAGAACAAGGGCAAGAGCUUGUCGUACGCGUCGUGCCUGCCGGACCUGAGCUGCCUCCGGACCCGGCCGCCGCCGGCGGGGGCGCCGCGUCGUGCGACGUCGCUGCGGUCGGAGCGGGGCGGGUUCAUCACGAUCGAGAACUCGGUGGCGGAGAUGGAGGAGGAGGAGGGGUUCAUCACGAUGGAGAAGGGCACGGUGUCGUCGCGGUCUAGGCGGGCGGCGCUGGCGCUGGAGGCGCUGGCGGCGGCCGAGGAGGAGGAGGCGGAGGACGAGAAGCCGUGCCUGUUCAUGGAGCUGUCGUCGUCGUCCGGGGAGGCGUCGGCGCUGGAGGUGGAGGGGGUGGAGGAGGAGUUCCUGGCGAUGCUGGAGGACAAGUACUGGGCGGAGAUGGCGCGGAGCAAGGAGAUCGAGAAGGGGCUGAGCGUGACCCUGGACGCCGGGCUGGACCUGGGGCUGGACCUGGACUCGCUCAUCCGGGACGCCGAGACGGAGCUGGCCAGGGCGGAGCAGGCGUGGAGGAGCAAGGUCGGCGCCGCCAUCGUGGAGGAGGAGGAGUACAAGGAGCUGGUCCGGCGGUGGGGCAGCACCACCAGGGACCGGGACAGGGAGCAGCACGUCCUCACCACCUCCAGCUCCGGCUGCUCCUGGGGCUUCGGCUUCGGCAGCCCCAUCUAA
rnacentral:rRNA from 1 species